AUUUAAAUUCAAUUAUAAAGGUAAUAUCAUUAUUUUCUAUUUAUAACUACCGACUAUUCCAUAUUAUACUCAUAUUUUUUAUCCAAAUAUGAUUUUUUUAGUUCCACUUUAUACUCAUAUUUUCAUCCAAAUAAAGAAAUACACUUAUUUCUACGAAAAUUCAUACUUGUAACUAUUCUCGGUAUAACUAGUUCUUACUUAUACCCGAACCAAACGAAGCUUUAGAGUGUAUGUAUAGUAUUUCUUUUUUAAAAAUCUUAAGGGAGCUAUUUCAGAAUAUACAAUUGGUGAGCGGUCUCCUUACAUUUUUAUUGUAAAAAAUUAGCAUCCAAUAAUUCGACCUGUUUCGUGGACUGGUCUCCUCGUUUACUCCAGUCACCUCUACAAACGUCAAUCCACUAAUUGUCCACCAAUUUCCACCAAUUUCUUUAUAACACAACAAAUUUUGGUUGUAUUGAAAUAGCGAUGCGUUGCACGAAUAUACUGUUAGUGGGUGCCUUUAGUUAGCCACUUGGUUCAUUUUUUACAAUACGCAAAUGUGCAGUUACAAUUAAA
rnacentral:lncRNA from 1 species